AGGAAUAUUGGUCAAUGGACGCAAGUCUGAACCAGCCAUGCCGCGUGAAGGAUGAAGGUCCUCUGGAUUGUAAACUUCUUUUAUCUGGGACGAAAACGGGAUUUUUAUCUCAAUUGACGGUACCAGAGGAAUAAGCACCGGCUAACUCCGUGCCAGCAGCCGCGGUAAUACGGAGGGUGCGAGCGUUAUCCGGCUUUACUGGGUUUAAAGGGUGCGUAGGUGGGCUUAUAAGUCAGUGGUGAAAUCUCCGAGCUUAACUUGGAAACGGCCGAUGAUACUAUCGGUCUUGAAUUAUCUGGAGGUAAGCGGAAUAUGUCAUGUAGCGGUGAAAUGCUUAGAUAUGACAUAGAACACCAAUUGCGAAGGCAGCUUACUACAUAUAAAUUGACGCUGAGGCACGAAAGCGU
rnacentral:rRNA from 1 species